rnacentral:lncRNA from 1 species
UGCCAUAUUUAUUUAAGGACUACACCUGUUGACAUUUAGGUUGUUGCUAUAAAGUGAACUUCUCUGUAGAUUUAGGCGAUUUUGUUUGUUUCAUCUUUUUUAUUAAGGUAUAAUUUAGAUACAGUAAAAGUAUCCAUUUUAGUGUAUAGUUCUCCAGAUUUUGGCAAACAAUACAGUCUUGUAACCAUUAGCCAUUAGCACAGUUAAUCUGUAGAAUUUCAUCAUCCCCCUGAAAGUCCACAGUCCUCAUCUGGACCCCACCCCUCCUCCAGCCCUGGCAGGCAGUGAUCUUUUCUGUCCCUAUAGUUUCUUCUUUUUGAGGGCGUCAUAUAAAUGGACUCAUACCAUAUGUAGCCUUGGAGGCUGGCUGCUUUCACACACCUGGGGUUCGUUCACGAAGAUGAAAGGAUUCACCCCGAGCUGACAUCUGUUGCCAGUCUGCCUCUUUUUCUUCUCCUUCUCCCCAAAGCCUGAGUGCAUGAUCCUGGUUCCCCCCAGUACACAGCUGUACAUUCUAAUUGUAGGCCCUUCUGGCUCUGCUAUGUGGGACAACGCCUCAGCAUGGCUUGAUGAGUGAUGCUAGGUCCACGCCCAGGAUCUAAACCGGCAAAACCCCGGGCUGCCGAAGUGGAGCAGGCAA